rnacentral:lncRNA from 1 species
CGAAAGAGGAAGAGCCAGGGCUGCUGGAUGCCUAGUGCAGGAAUUUUGCAGCUAGACUGAGGAAUGCCUUAGAGUCCCUGAUAUAUAAGGUAAUGUCUAGUUUACAGCAUGGGUGGAGCCAGGCUAGCAGCUCCCCUCUUUUCAACAGAGGAAAGGAAUAUGGGGGAACUUUUAUUUUUGUAAAAGCAGAACCCAGUAACAAAGACUACUCUGUGACAGUGUUGGUUCCAGUAGCAGUAGAGGACCAAUGGACUGGUUUAGAGAAAAUGAGUUUGCUCUGUGAUGUAAUACAAGUUUGCUUUGUCCUGAGGCCAGCAUGACUGAGGAUGCAGAGGAGGGAGAAGAGGAAAGUUUGAAAGGGACUUUUGGUUAAUAGUUUCCAGAGAUGGUUGAGCAGGACUUGAGUGGAGGGAUAUUGGAUAUUGUGGAAGAUUGCUGCGAGGUAUACCAUAAUUAUGAGCAUCUGUUUCAGCACUCCUGAUACUUUGGACCAGCAGGUGGAAUCCUUCAAGGCUGCCUCACAGGACUUUCCCAGAGCUAUACCAGAG